rnacentral:rRNA from 1 species
GAGGGAAGUUUAGCCGGGAAGUUUGCGUCUAAAAAGAG